UUUAAGUGCAACCAUAAGUUUCUGCGCCGAACUUUAGUCGUCCGUCUUAUUUGAAAUUUUUUUCGUAAUUAGUAUUUUUGUUGUUAUGAUAUGAUAAAACAUUGAUACUACUUUAUGCGUGACUUAUGUUUUUAAAUUUUUUCAAAAAAUUUUCAAAUAAGAUGGACGAUCAAAAUUGGACACAGAACUCAUAGCUGCCUUUAAA
rfam:Oryza meridionalis cultivar OR44 (W2112) chromosome 1, whole genome shotgun sequence.